GCCUGGGUGGCUCAGUCGGUUGAGCGUCUGACUUUGACUCAGCUCAUGAGCUCACGGUUUGUGGGUUCAAGCCCCGCGUCGGGCU
rnacentral:tRNA from 1 species